rnacentral:rRNA from 1 species
AACGAACGCUGGCGGCAUGCCUAACACAUGCAAGUCGAACGGGACCAUCGGGCUUGCUGGUGCACGCGUCGGCGACCCGUGGAGACCUGCCCAUGGGUCCGCCGUAACUUCCCGGAUGACGUCCUAAUACCGGCUAUUGUACUCCGAACAAAGAGUUAUCGCCUUUGGGUGGGCUUGGGUGGGAUUAGCAGGUUGGUAGGGUAAAAGCAUACAAAGGGGACGUUACAUAGCUGGUCUGAGAGGAUGAUCAGCCACACUGGGACUGAGACACGGUCGAGAAUCCUACGCGAGGGAGGAGAGGGGAAUAUUGGACUGUGGGCGAAAGCCUGAUGCAGCAAUGCCUGGUGAGUGAUGAAGGUCGUAGGGUUGUGAAGCUCUUUUACACGUGGUGAUAAUGACAGUACCGGGAGAAUAAGCACCGGCUAACUUCGUG